ACAUACACGUAAUCGAUAUAAUAUUAUUUGCACUGGUAUAUUAUGAUUGAUGGGUUUCCCUAUUUCGUUUACUCGUUAAACGUUACACAUUAUAAUCUAUUAUAUUUAUUUAUAUGUUAUAAUAUGAAGUCGUAGUGUAUAUGGUCAUGCGAUAACGAUCAACAAUAGUCAAUCGUUUCCUUCGAUAUUCAGAUAAUAUAAUAUCAAUGUUCCUAUGUACCUAUACGGCUAUAUUGUAUUACGGUCAUUACGGGUGUGCGCAUUGUCAUGGCAUUAAGUCCGAAUUAGACAUUAGUUAAUGUGAAUUAGUGUUAUAUUAUAAUAUUAUGUUAUAUUAUUAUUAUAAAAUUGAAAAUGAAAAGACAAAAGACAUCUAUAACCGACUUUUUUAAAAACUCUUCUUCCAAAUCCAAAACAAUAAUUGAAAAAAACGAAGGUCUCGUAGUGUCAUAGAACGAAUUUAUUGCUACGUAUAGUUUAUUAUUUUUAAUGUAUAUUGUGUAUUUAAUAGUGGACAAUGACAAUAACAAAGACAUUGACGACCCUGGUGUCCUAAGAAAUAGUCUCAACAGUCAAAACGUUUAGAAAGGAGUGGCCAAAUGCCCAAAUGACAUAAAGGGAUCUGAUGAAGAUUUAGAAUCGGAUAUCACAAUGUGGCGCAGACAUUGUUCAAAUACGCCGAAAAAAGGCUAAAAACGUUUGUUGAAUGUUGAUGCUCUAAACUUUUGCGAAUCUACGUUAUAUCAGUCUAUACAUCGAUUUUUGUAAAUUGGAGCAACACUUCCCGUUUCAGUUUCUUCGAGUGAAAGAUCAUUCUCUUGUCUCCGUAGAUUAAAAACCUAUUUACGAAACAAGACGGCGGAGGACCGAUUGAAUGGAUUAGUAUUAUUGAACUUAUACAGAGACGUAGAGGUAUCUUAUGAAGAUAUCUUGAAUAUUAUGGCAAAAACACCGAGGCGGAUAAAUUUGAUUUUAUAAUUAAUUGUUACGAGUUUACGACUUCCAAAAAUACAAUAAAUAAUUAUUUCAAAAUAAUGGUAAUUAUUCUUAUUUUUUCAAAUCCCCCCCCCCUGAAUUUUUUUCCUGCGUCCGCCACUGUGUGAGUGUGAUUGUAUGCGAUACCGAGCUAUCUACGCACGCACAGAUGUCAACGGCACCGGACCAAAAAUAAAAUGCAAGAUUUUGCUCAAAACACGCUUUACAGGAAAAACUAUCACAGUAUCACGCAUCGUAGUGGUCUGAAUUGAUUAAUUUUAUUUGUUCGUUAGAAAGAGGAGAAUUUUUUACAGGUCUUCUGAAAAUUGUUCAUAUUCAAAGUAGUAUUUUAUGGUUUGUAAAUAGAAUCUUUGAGAAUCCAAUUUCAAUCUGCCCGGUAAGAAGCGUUUCUCCUUCAAAAAAAAAAGAGUUGUGUCAUGGAACAGCAGAUAGAAACGAAGUUUCUUUUCCAACAAAUAUUAUAGAUUACAAAUACACUUUAGUGGAACCAUUCAAUUUUUAAAAUUCCAAGUAUAAAAAUAUAUUGUACAAAUAUACAAAUAUAAGAAGGUUAGGUUCCUAGUGUAUCGUAAAUUCGUAACGUGCAUUGUGUACUGUACUACUGUGUGAUAACGUUAGAAAUAGCCAAUAACUAAUUAAUAAUAAUUCAAUUAAUAGUGUUAGCACUUAGCAUUGACCAUUCAUAAAUAAAUUCUAGCAUUUAUACGCGCGUGAUAAUGCGCCCAGGACUUUUUGGAUUUCCACUUUACCACCCGGCACUUUUAGGGAUUUCCGCUGGACGGAAAUAGGACGUUUUCCAACGCUUCAACCUCAAUCGAAAACCAAACUUUCGGUGCAAGCGUGACGACAAAAUAGUAUAUCGUGUGGUGGGAGAAGUGAGCUAUUUAAGUCGUGUGCGGCACGAACACAACCGUGCAGCACUAGUUAUUUAUUAUUAUUGUAAGCUAUAAGGGCAAUACUUGUUAGAUUAUGAUUUUUAUCAUUUUACGAGUAUUAUAUUCAUAUUAUAUCACAGAACCUGCUGGCCAGUCUGCGCUCCACAAACUGGGUUUUUUCAUUAUUUAUUUAUUAUACACAUUCAAUUGUUGGGGCAAAAGGCUUAUAGAUAUUUAUAACUAUUAUUAUUUUGUUGGACCAGAAGGGCCGCAUAUUUUAUACGAGCUUCAGCUCACUCAAAUAGCUGCGUCAAUAUAUAAUAUACUUCAGUUGGCCAUAAGGGUCGGUCAUGAAACUCACGGACAACGUCAGGCGGGAUGGCUAAAAAUUAAAAUACAAUAUGAUUUUGCUUUUAUACCUAUGUACAUCGAGAUACACCCAAAAGGAGUUAAUUAAUUACAAUUUUUUACCAGGCAACGCCGGGUUAUUCAGCAAAUAAUAUAUAAAUAGGAAAAUAAAUUAGAAAACUCAAUUUUUAAAAGGUCACCAAAAAAAAAAUGUAUAAUUCGUCAGUCCUUUUAGAAUUAAUACAAUGAUUUGUCAGUAAUAAUCUUUGGUACAAAACUUAUUCUCAAGAAAACACGAAAAAAAAA